rnacentral:rRNA from 1 species
UAGGGAAUCUUCCACAAUGGACGCAAGUCUGAUGGAGCAACGCCGCGUGAGUGAAGAAGGUUUUCGGAUCGUAAAGCUCUGUUGUUGGUGAAGAAGGAUAGAGGCAGUAACUGGUCUUUAUUUGACGGUAAUCAACCAGAAAGUCACGGCUAACUACGUGCCAGCAGCCGCGGUAAUACGUAGGUGGCAAGCGUUGUCCGGAUUUAUUGGGCGUAAAGCGAGCGCAGGCGGAAUGAUAAGUCUGAUGUGAAAGCCCACGGCUCAACCGUGAGACUGCAUCGGAAACUGUCAUUCUUGAGUGCAGAAGAGGGGAGUGGAAUUCCAUGUGUAACGGUGGAAUGCGUAGAUAUAUGGAAGAACACCAGUGGCGAAGGCGGCUCUCUGGUCUGCAACUGACGCUGAGGCUCGAAAGCAUGGGUAGCGAACAGG